rnacentral:tRNA from 1 species
GCCGAUGUAGCUCAGUGGUAGAGCAGCUGUUUCGUAAACAGCAGGUCGUGAGUUCAAUCCUCACCAUCGGCUCCA